rnacentral:rRNA from 1 species
AGCGGUAUCCCGAAGCAGCUUGCUUCUUUGCUGACGAGUGGUCGACGGGAGACUAAUGUCUGGGAAACUGCCUGAUGGAGGGGGAUAUCUACUGGAAACGGUGGCUAAUACCGCAUAAUGUCUAGAGACCAAUGGGGGGGCUCUUCGGGCCUUGCGCUAUCAGAUGUGCCCAUAUGGGAUUAGCUUGUGGGUGGGGUAAGGGCUCACCUGGGCGACUAUCUCUAUCUGGUCUGAGAAGAUGACCACCCACUCUGGAACUGACACACGGCCCACACUCCUACGGGAGGCAGCAGUGGGGAAUAUUGCACAGUGGGCGCACGCCUGAUGCCCCCGUGCCGCGUGUAUGAAAAGGGCCUUCGGGUUGUAAAGUACUUUCCGCGGGGAAGAGGGUGUUGGGGUUAAUACCCGUCUCUAUUGACGUUACCCGCAAAAGAAGCACCGGCUAUCUCCGUGCCAACACCCGCGGUAAUACAGAGGGUGCAAGCGUUAAUCAGAUUUACUGGGCGUAAAGCGCACGCGCGCGGUCUGUCAAGUCAGAUGUGAUAUCCCCGCUCUCAACGUGAGAACUGCAUUCGACUCUGGCGCGCUAGACUCUUGUAGAGGGGGGUAGAAUUCCGUGUGUAGCGGUGAUAUGCAUAGAGAUGUGGAAGAAUACCGGUGGCGAGCGCGGCCCCGUGGACAAACACUGACUCUCGUGUGCGAAAGCGUGGAGAGCACACGAGAUUAUAUACCCUGAUACUCCACGCUGUACACGAUGUCUAUUUAGAUGUUGUGCUCUUGACGCGUGUCUUCCGGAUCUAACGCUUAUAUACACCGUCUGGAGAGUACGGCGCAGGGAUAACACUCAUAUGUAUUGACGGGGCGCCCGCACCAGCGGUAGAUCAUGGUGGUUUUAUUCUGAUGCACGCGAAAAAUCUUCUUCUGCUCGUGAUCUCCCACAAAACUUCUUCAGAAGAUGGUAUUGUGCGCUCUCGGAGCACUUGAGAACAACAGUGCUGCAUGGCUGUCCGACACCUCGUGUGGAAAUGGUGGGUAUAAUCCCCACAACAGCGCCACCCUAUAUCCUUGUGCCAGCGAUUUACUGCGGGACUUCAAGGAGACUCGUCAUGUUAUAUCUGGAAGAAGGUGGGAAUGACGUCAA